GGCCCAGCCAACUCUUUUCCGCGCUAACCCUAACCCUAAGUAAAAAAAAAAAUUGUUCUUCGCAGCUCUUCCUUAGGCGGCAACAGUGACCAUCGAGCUUCUUCCUCGAAGAUGAUGUUCUUAAAUGUUCUCUGAAACCAACAAUGGAGUCAUCCUGUUCGUUGACAUCUGAGUAAUCUCCAACAAUGGAGUUUUUGGGAGAGUUAUUUGAGACGGAUCGUCAUGACGUUCGAUCUGUCUUUGUGCCAUCGUUUCGUCUCCGUUGCUUUACCCGAAACCGUUACUUGAUGAAUUGAUUCACUGCCAUUAACAAUCUCUUAACUCCAUCAAGCUAAUUCAACCAUGUUUUCUCAUUCAAUGCACCUCUCGGCAAAGGCGGUGCAUUUUAAGCUAUAAAAAGGAUUGCGCUAUGAUCAGUCCUACUAGGAUGGAAACUCGAAAGACUCAGAUCAGUCUCUGCAAAAAGGUUGCAUAGAAGCCAUCGAGAAUUUGAUUCGUUGACGAUGAAUCUCGAGAAGAACUCGGCGUCCGACAACUCUCUGGAGAACAAACUCACUAUUAUAGGUUUUACUUCGAGAUCCGUACGGACCUUAGUCAACCACGGUGAAGACAUGAAAUGAGCGAUCUGGAAACCCCAUGCCGCCUCUUGGUAAUCGUUCACAUCCACUGAACCGUGUCUUUUUCUGCAGUGGUAAUGUGUCUGAAAACGUGCGGCUUAAUGAACGAAUCCUUCUGAUUAUCAGCCAGGGAAUCAAUAAGAAAGCGUGGGAUGCAUCCGGUGAGCAUUGGUUGUUUCAGUCAAACGAGGUGAUGAUAAUUACAAAGGAUUACUUGCAAAUACGACACUCUUCCAAGUACAUUUAUUGUAUCAUAUCUGUGCUAUGUCUUAACCUGAAGAAUAGUCUAUGCUUUUAUGUUUAUAGUGGGUUCACCCAAAUUUUUUGUUCUAUCCACUAGACUGGUCACUCUUUGUAAUGGUUCUAUGACAAACAUUUUCAUGUGAAUAUCAAUUUCAUAUAGAUUGAACAACAUUUUUAUUGUAUAGUAACGAGACCAUCUUAAAUUAUUGAGUAACGGAAACAUACCAUGUUGCUUAAUAUCAUCUAUUUAACCUUUAUUUU